ACAACCAUGUCAUGGGGAAACACCAGUUCACAUAUAAUCACUGAAGUUAAGCAACAUCAAACCUGGUCAGUAUCUAGAUGGGUAACUCCUUGGGAAUACCAGGUGCUGUAAG